CGUCGAUUGAUCGGCUGGCGGCAGGCCUAACACAUGCUAAAGUCGACCGGUAGAGAGGUGCUUGCACCUCUAGAGAGCGGCGGACGGGUGAGUAAUGCCUAGGAAUCUGCCUGGUAGUGGGGGAUAACGCUCGGAAACGGACGCUAAUACCGCAGACGUCCUACGGGAGAAAGCAGGGGACCUUCGGGCCUUGCGCUAUCAGAUGAGCCUAGGUCGGAUUAGCUAGUUGGUGGGGUAAUGGCUCACCAAGGCGACGAUCCGUAACUGGUCUGAGAGGAUGAUCAGUCACACUGGAACUGAGACACGGUCCAGACUCCUACGGGAGGCAGCAGUGGGGAAUAUUGGACAAUGGGCGAAAGCCUGAUCCAGCCAUGCCGCGUGUGUGAAGAAGGUCUUCGGAUUGUAAAGCACUUUAAGUUGGGAGGAAGGGCAUUAACCUAAUACGUUAGUGUUUUGACGUUACCGACAGAAUAAGCACCGGCAAACUCUGUGCCAGCAGCCGCGGUAAUACAGAGGGUGCAAGCGUUAAUCGGAAUUACUGGGCGUAAAGCGCGCGUAGGUGGUUCGUUAAGUUGGAUGUGAAAGCCCCGGGCUCAACCUGGGAACUGCAUUCAAAACUGUCGAGCUAGAGUAUGGUAGAGGGUGGUGGAAUUUCCUGUGUAGCGGUGAAAUGCGUAGAUAUAGGAAGGAACACCAGUGGCGAAGGCGACCACCUGGACUGAUACUGACACUGAGGUGCGAAAGCGUGGGGAGCAAACAGGAUUAGAUACCCUGGUAGUCCACGCCGUAAACGAUGUCAACUAGCCCGUUGGGAGCCUUGAGCUCUUAGUGGCGCAGCUAACGCAUUAAGUUGACCGCCUGGGGAGUACGGCCGCAAGGUUAAACUCAG
rnacentral:rRNA from 1 species